rnacentral:rRNA from 1 species
AUGUCUACCUCUGCCGCUCCGGUCUCCUCCGGCCUCAACUGCAACGUCUCCGAGCCGCUCACCCGGACGAACUAUGUCCUCUGGCGAGCCCAGGCGCGAUCCCAGAUAAUGGGCGCCGGCCUGUAUGGCUACAUCGACAAAACCACGGCAGAACCUCCCAAGAUCAUCACCACCAAGGACAAGGACGGCAAGGAUCAGGUGAUCACCAACCCUGCCUAUGCCCCCUGGUUAAUUCAAGAUCAACAGAUCGUCGCAUAUCUCCUUCGCAAUCUCUCCAAGGAGGUGCUGGUUCGGGUUGCAUCGAUGGAAACAUCACAUGCGAUUUGGACGGCCCUGAGCAACAUGUUCUCC